GUCUACGGCCACAUCACCCUGAAUGCACCCAAUCUCGUCUGAUCUCGGAAGCUAAGUAGGGUCGGGCCUGGUUAGUACUUGGAUGGGAAACCUCCUGGGAAUACAGGGUGCUGUAGGCU
rnacentral:rRNA from 1 species